AUUGAACGCUGGCGGCAUGCUUUACACAUGCAAGUCGAACGGUAACAGGCCGCAAGGUGCUGACGAGUGGCGAACGGGUGAGUAAUGCAUCGGAACGUGCCCAGUCGUGGGGGAUAACGCAGCGAAAGCUGUGCUAAUACCGCAUACGAUCUAUGGAUGAAAGCGGGGGACCGUAAGGCCUCGCGCUACUGGAGCGGCCGAUAUCAGAUUAGGUAGUUGGUGGGGUAAAGGCCUACCAAGCCGACGAUCUGUAGCUGGUCUGAGAGGACGACCAGCCACACUGGGACUGAGACACGGCCCAGACUCCUACGGGAGGCAGCAGUGGGGAAUUUUGGACAAUGGACGCAAGUCUGAUCCAGCCAUUCCGCGUGCAGGAUGAAGGCCCUCGGGUUGUAAACUGCUUUUGUACGGAACGAAAAGGUUUCUAUUAAUACUAGGAGCUCAUGACGGUACCGUAAGAAUAAGCACCGGCUAACUACGUGCCAGCAGCCG
rnacentral:rRNA from 1 species